rnacentral:rRNA from 1 species
CGUAGGUGGCAAGCGUUGUCCGGAAUUAUUGGGCGUAAAGCGCGCGCAGGCGGUCAGGUAAGUCUGGUGUCAAAGCCCGGGGCUCAACCCCGGUACGCAUUGGAAACUAGCCUGACUUGAGUGCAGAAGAGGAAAGCGGAAUUCCACGUGUAGCGGUGAAAUAGCGUAGAGAUGUGGAGGAACACCAGUGGCGAAGGCGGCUUUCUGGUCUGUAACUGACGCUGAGGCGCGAAAGCGUGGGGAGCAAACAGGAUU